rnacentral:misc_RNA from 1 species
GCAAACUUGGUCAUUUAGAGGAAGUAAAAGUCGUAACAAGGUUUCCGUAGGUGAACCUGCGGAAGGAUCAUUAUCAAUUCUCAGCGGGCCUGGACUCGUCCGUGGUCACGCGAAACACUGUAUUUAAAACCUGCUCGUAACAUAAUCAAAAAAAAACUUUGUAUCAGUGAGUUAAAAAAAAAAGAUCACUUUCAACAACGGAUCUCUUGGCUCUCGCAUCGAUGAAGAACGCAGC